AGUGCUCGUGGCAGGGUCCAUGGAGUUGUGGACAGGACGGGACCACCCAGAGUUCGAAUCCGGGCUCUGCCCCACUUUUCUCAUCUCCCGAUGGGCGUUCAAGCCUGUGGCCAGGGGCUGUCGGGGGUCCCAUUGCUUCAGUGUGGACAUCGCCAGAACGUGCUCAGCACCCCGCGAUGCCUCAGGAAAGCUGUCCUUGCUGCACACACUACCGGGAACAGCAGGUGCUUCCAGCCCACAAACCCAGAGACGCGGAGGUCCGGCGGUUUGGCGCCAAGCUCCCACUUCCUGUGGAGCCCCUUGGUUCGGCAGUGGCUCCUCUGCUGCUUCGGCCCAGGGCCAGACAAGGGUUCCCAGCCCUUCAGAUCGCCGGGGGACCUCAGGGCACGACACCCCGCGCCCUGGAGAGACCUCCUCCACCGCCCCUAGGCCACACCCCUUCUGCGUGCAACCUGGGCCUCUAGCCCAGCUGAAGACGUGCAUUUCCUUCUCCAGCCUGUGAUUGGCCUAGAAAGACACACAUGAUGCCUCGCUGGCCAAUGAGGUGUGAGGACGAUUGCCCUGGGGGAUUCUGGGAAGGGCUUUCUUCCCGAGACAGAGGGAGAGAGAGAGAGAGUGCGAGAGGAGAGAAGGAGAGAAGCAGAGAGUUCCAUGUCUGGUUAGUCGGGUUAAAGCAUCUGUACCAGGAAAUGUGCAGAUCUAACAUGUACAAUUCUAAGGAUUUUGAGAAAUGCGCCCAUGUAAUCCACACACCAUCAAGAUAGACAGCGCUCCCUCUGUCUAAAAAGUCCCCUGUGCCUUGCAGGCCAGUCCUCACACACAGAGGCAAUCGCCGCCUGAGUUUUAGCGUCAGUGAUGAGUUUUGCCUGACCUCGAGCAUCCUGUAAAUGGCUAUGCCUGGCUUCUUUCACUCAGCGCAACAUGUGUGAAACUUACCCGUG